rnacentral:misc_RNA from 1 species
AAAGGGAUCUUUUUUUUCUUUUAAAGACCUAGUGAUAGGUAUACUUUAGAGAGGGGCUUGCGCCAUAUUAGUUAGUUGGUAGGGUAAUGGCCUACCAAGACGAUGAUGUGUAGCUGGACUGAGAGGUUGAACAGCCACAUUUGGGACUGAGAACACGGGGCCCAAACUCCCUUACGGGAGGGGCAGCAGUUUAGGGAAAUUUUUCGGCAAUGGGAAGGAAAACCUCUGAACCGAAGCCAAACCGCCGCGGUGGAACGAAACGAAGUUACCUUUUGGUAUGUUAAAGUUUUCCUUUUAUUCAAGGAAAGAAAAAAGCAAGGUGGGUGAAAACCAUUUGUUUUUGCCGGGUUACUUGAAUGAAAUAAGCCCCCCCGGCCUUAAUUAUGGUGCCCAGCCAGCCCGCCGGAUAAGAACAAUAAGGGGGGCAAGGUGGUUAUCCGGAAAUUAUUGGGGCGUUAAAGGGGUGCGUUUAGGCGGCUCUAGUUAAGUUCAGUGGGUGUAAUGGCCAACGCCUCAACGUUUGUCCGGGCUAUUGAAAACUGCUUAAACUUGAGUUUAGAUAGAGGCCAAGUGGAAAUUCCAUGUGUAGCGGGUAAAAUGCGUAAAUAUAUGGGAGGAACACCCAGAGGCGUAAGGCGGCUUCGCUGGGGUCUUAACUGACCCCUGAAGGCACGAAAACCUUGGGGGAGCCAAACCGGGAUUUAAAUACCCCUGGGUAGUCCAGGCCGGUAAACCGAUGAGGUACUUAAGUUGUCGGGGUUAAAACCGGGUACUGGAAGUUUAACCCCAUUUAAGUAACCUCCCCCCUGGAGAAAUUACGUUUCCCCAAGGUUUUGAAAACCUUUAAAGGGAAAUUUGACCGGGGAAUUCCCCCCCAAAAACCGGGGGGAAAACAAGGGU